rnacentral:lncRNA from 1 species
ACACAGACACACACGCACACACACACAUGCACACAUUUUCUCGCGCUCUCUCCGGCUCUCCUUUGUUUAUUUUCUAAUCUAUAUUUUUACUGGAAGAUUUCCUCUUUAUUCUCUCCCGCCCUCCUACAAGCGCUCUUGCUGGCCGUCUGGGUGCACACACCGCUCCCUCGAUCACCCCAGCCCCCUUCCUGGUCUCCCGAGCGCGGGGUUUGAAGGUCACCUCCUUUCCAGUCCCCGUGCGAGCCGCGCUGCCGCCGCCUCCUCCAGCCAGAGUCGGUGGGACUGGCUGCGCUGCCCUGAAGUGGUUCUCCAAGCAGCGCGGAGGGUGGCGGACGGCGGACGGAGCCCAGGGGCCGCGUCGGGUGGGGAAACCCGAACUCGCGGAGGGGAAUCCCUCCCCCUCCGCCCCAGCCCCCCAGCAGCACCCGCGGUGGGGCGGGGGCGCUCUGCCAGCCCCGGGAACAGCAGAGGCGGCGGCACUGGCUGGACCCACGCGCGCGCCUCCGGGGCUGAAGAAGGAAGGAGUGAGCCGAGCCGAGCACCCCACAUCUGGAGGGGACAGCCAGCCGUGGGCCCCGCCCCGGCGUCCGGAGCAGGAGAACUCCGAGCUUCUUGCCCAGGCAGAGAGAGCAGGAGCGGACCGCGCGCCCGGGAUUGAGAGUCCUUGCGCUCCAGACCCCCACCCAGUGGCCGCCAGGGUCCCCGCCUGUCCGGACCCUCGCCGCGCCCAGGCAGGCGCGCCAGGGCGGGGCUGACCUGCCCGCGAAGUUGCGGACAGUGCGUGAGAAACCAGCACCCCCUUCCGCCGCCUCCAGCUUAUGGUGAGUGUGGCUGGGGGUGCAGAGAGCGCACGGGAAUUCGGGGGUCUGGGGCCGAGAACGUGACCGCAGCCGGGCUCGCCGGGAGUUCUAGGAAACUGGUCAAAGAACUCAUGCAAGUGGAACUUACAGCUUCCUUGAUCGGACUCAGCAUUCAGAAUUAAAAAGCAUCCCUCAAAUUGACAAGAAAAUUGGAUAAUAAAUUAACCAUUUACAGUUUGGUAAAUAUAUGCACAACUGAAGUUCCACGUCAUGGGCCAUAUUUUUAUCAGACGCAACACCAGAUGAAGGAUAAACCAUAUGACCCACCCUCUUCUGCCAUGAAUGAACAAUGGACUGAAGUCUUUCAUAAUUGCUUGUUUCAAGAUGCUCACUAAAUCAGACAAGGAACUCCUGUCUUGUGUCUUUAAGGGAGGUUGAACAAUAGGCUGGGACACUGGAGUAAAUGGGGCACUCUGCCAUACUUACACUUUCCUUUGAAAUUUGUGUUUGGGAGGCUUUAACUAUGAGUAUAUUUUGCAGCCAAAUGCAGUUAGCUUUUUGACUAAUGGAGCUGGUGUGAAUUUUACCCCUCCAUCUGUAGAUGCUGAAAUGUCACAUUAUUUCAUUUUUCUAAAACAAAUUAAAUGACUCUGAGCAUCCAGUCAUUAGGGUUUUAAGAAACUCAAUCACAACUAUGAGUAUAGGGAAUGGGGAUGAACAGUAUCCCUUUCCCAUAUGCUAGAUAGACAGUCACCUGUGGAGCUUAGCAGUGCUUCGGAUACAGGGAAGGACAGCUGGUCUUUGAGAUAUUGUGGGCAUUUGGGUGUUAGGAUUCUUAUUACUUAAACCUGCCCAGUCCCUAUAAAAAGGGACCGCUUUGCAAAUUCUGAUCCAUGCAUGGAACAGGAAAUCUUUCUUAAUAUUUAGCUGCUUCAUGCAUUCAAAUCCUUGAAGACCCCCCACAUGCCCUGCACCCUUCUCAGUUCCCUUUCAAUCUUGGGGUAUCUCCCCUUUCUGAGAAUUCACUGCUGUUGCUGACCUCCUCCCACUCAUUUCCUUCCAUCUUCUCUUACUUUCUUAAUACCCCACAUUAUCUCUGCUGACUGUGUCUUUAGACACACAACACUUUUCUUUAAGGAAAGGCAAGGCUGUGUGUUCCUUACCUCAUCAUGUUAUGUUAGAGGUCCAAAUGUUUUAUGGGUGACCAAUUAAUUCAUCAUGUCAUCUGGAUGACUGUUGAAAGCAAAAGCGGGAUCAUUGUAAGAACUGUGUCAGGAAACCAGCAAAACCAGCCCUGUCCCAGGCAAACUGGGAAUUAUGAUCUCUCUCUGGAAGGAAAGAAGAAGAAAAGUGGGAGAGGUAGGCUGUUCUUUUUCCAACAAGAAUCUUGGAAGGCGUUUUCAUUUUGGAAACUGUUUAGAAGACUAUACUAAAUUGUUACUCCUUAUUACCAACAUGCAUAGCAUCCUGCAAUGCAGACAUCCAUGACUGUGCAUCUCCACUGCUUCAAACAGGGCACUAGUGUUCCAAGCUUUGUGUUUCUAUUGCCAGCCCUGAAUGCAAAAAUAUGGGAUCCUGAGUUCAAAUCGGGCUCAGAAGUUGACAUAUUGUUUGACCUUGAGCAAUCUGCUUAAUUUCAUAGUGUUUGUUUGCUCAUCUGAAAACAAAAGGGAUAAUGCUGAUCGAGGCAUAUUGUGGAGAUUAAUUAGUUUCUGAAGUGCUGAGAUCCACAGAUGAAAGGCUUUAAGUGGAAAUUAUUUUGUUUUUAAAGGAAUAAUCGAUGCAUGUGAAUAAAAGAGAACUAACUGAACUGAAUUACAGGCACUUGGCUGCUGGUGGGAGUGGGGGAAGAAAGAAUAUUGCUUCUUGCAAAGAACCUUAAAUUUACCCCCCAGAAUAGCAGUGGGAAAAUUGCUUUUUUUUUGUGAUUCUGAAAGGAUGAGAAAUUAUGCAAAAGAAACGAGCUAGAAUAAGAGGAGAAUAUAUGCAGUUAAGACAUAUUUCAAAGUAACUUUCCUGGAUAAACAACUAGGUAUCUAAUAUAUAUAUUAUGUGUAUUAGAUAUAUAUAUGAUAUAUAUGAUAUAUUAAUGUAUUAGAUAAUGUGUGUGUGUGUAAGUAUGUAUAUACUCCACCAGUCCUCUGUGAUUAGGUUCUUAGCCAAAUGCUUGUCUACCAAAACAGCUCAGCCACGAUCCCCAAGGAGCCUUAAUGACCCCUAAGUCCUUGGUGAAAAGAUCAGUUUGGGAAGGAGAAACUAACUGUUUAAAAAUCUCACAGCUGUGUAUCGUGGUGAGAAAACUAGCACUAUUAAGCGUGUUACUGUUUAAAACCACUUUUGCUCUUGUUACAUUUGGUCUUCUCUCCAAUAAAUAUUAUUAUUGCCCUUGAUGUACAGAUAGGAAAAUGAUAAUCAGGGAAAUUAAAUGGCUGGCCAAUGGCCAUUUGUUUGGUUAGGUGGUAUAGGCAAUAUUCUGACCUCAACAUUAUGACUCACAAGACUCUGACCAUGUCACUGUCACCGAAGGGUUUGCUAAAGAUAUGGUGACAUUCAGCUGGCAUGUGGAAAUGAAUUAUUGUCUAAGGACUACAGAAGAAUUGGAAUGAAGACAGGAUUUUUUUUGUCAAAGAAAAUAAAAAGUUCUGACCAUUAAACGAAUGCGUUUUUGUCAUAGACGUGGUGGAAAAUGCCAACAAAGUCAGAUUUCAAAAUUGGCUCAAAGUCUCCUGAGUCAAAUGAAAACUCUGUCAAAGCCAUGUUAUACUUCUUCUUAGUCUUUUAUCCAUGCAUUUUAAUAAUAUAGUUAUGGUCAUGUUAUCCCAAAUUCUUUUCAAAUGUUGUUUUAAUGGCUCUGUAACUUUCUACCUUGUGACUAUUGCAUGGUUGUUUUGACCUUUUUCUCAUUUUUUGUAGAUAUUUAAGUUCUUACUUUUUUUUUACUUUUAUAAUUAGCUCUGUAAUGAGCUUUUUGUGUGAAAAAACAUAUAAUUAUAUACAGAGUUAUUACCUUACUACAGAUUCAUAACAUUUGGAUUAUUGCAUCUUGGGAAAUAAAUAUUGUAGUGUUCCUUGUGUAUAUAUCAAGUUUAUAUCAAUACCAUCUAUAUACUUAUAUAUCAGAUUUUAUAAAUUAAAUGUGCAAUUUAUUGUGUAC